CGAGUGCGGGCCCUCUGGGUCCAACCUCCCAUCCGUGUCUAUCUGUACCCUGUUGCUUCGGCGUGGCCACGGCCCGCCGAAGACUAACAUUUGAACACUGUCUGAAGUUUGCAGUCUGAGUUUUUAGUUAAACAAUAAUUAAAACUUUCAACAACGGAUCUCUUGGUUCCGGCAUCGAUGAAGAACGCAGCGAAAUGCGAUAAUUAAUGUGAAUUGCAGAAUUCAGUGAAUCAUCGAGUCUUUGAACGCACAUUGCGCCCCCUGGUAUUCCGGGGGGCAUGCCUGUCCGAGCGUCAUUGCUGCCCUCAAGCACGGCUUGUGUGUUGGGCUUCCGUCCCUGGUAACGGGGACGGGCCCAAAAGGCAGUGGCGGCACCAUGUCUGGUCCUCGAGCGUAUGGGGCUUUGUCACCCGCUCCCGUAGGUCCAGCUGGCAGCUAGCCUCGCAACCAAUCUUUUUAACCAGGUUGACCUCGGAUCAGGUAGGGAUACCCGCUGAACUUAAGCAUAUC
rnacentral:rRNA from 1 species